AGCCUGUUCUACAUUUAAACCAUGUUGAUGUUAUGAUUAAAUCGUGGUUAAACUUAGGAAAA
rnacentral:tRNA from 1 species